rnacentral:lncRNA from 10 species
CAAAGUGGGAAGUGUGAGUCCUCAGUCUUGGGCUAUUCGGCCACGUGCCUGCCGGACAUGGGACGCUGGAGGGUCAGCAGCGUGGAGUCCUGGCCUUUUGCGUCCACGGGUGGGAAAUUGGCCAUUGCCACGGCGGGAACUGGGACUCAGGCUGCCCCCCGGCCGUUUCUCAUCCGUCCACCGGACUCGUGGGCGCUCGCACUGGCGCUGAUGUAGUUUCCUGACCUCUGACCCGUAUUGUCUCCAGAUUAAAGAGUCUCACUCUGUUUCCCAGGCUGGAGUUCUGUGGCACCGUGUUGGCUCACUGCAACCUCCGUCUCCUGGGUUCAAGCAAUUCUCUUGCCUCAGCCUCCAGAGUAGCUGGGAUUACAGGUGCCCACCACCACACCCGGCUAAUUUUUUUAUAUUUUUAGUAGACACGGGGUUUCACCAUGUUGGCCAGGCCGGUCUUGAACUUGUGACGUCAGGUGAUGCACCCGCCUUGGCCUCCCAAAGUGCUGGGAUUACAGGUCCAGAUUUUGAACAAAUCUCGCUAGAGAUUGAACAGAGCUGCGCCUGGAUCCCGCCACAGUGAGGAGACCUGAAGACCAGAGAAAACACAGCAAACGGAGUCUUGCUCUGUUGUCCAGGCUGGAGUGUAGUGUGGCGAUCUCGGCUCCCUGCAAGAAUCUGCCUCCCAGAUUCACGCCAUUUUCCCACCUCAGCCCCUGGAGUAGCUGGAAGUACAGGCUCCCGCCACCACGCCUGGCUAAUUUUGUUUU